AGUGAACGCUGGCGGUAGGCCUAACACAUGCAAGUCGAACGGCAGCACAGUAAGAGCUUGCUCUUACGGGUGGCGAGUGGCGGACGGGUGAGGAAUACAUCGGAAUCUACUUUUUCGUGGGGGAUAACGUAGGGAAACUUACGCUAAUACCGCAUACGACCUACGGGUGAAAGCAGGGGAUCUUCGGACCUUGCGCGAUUGAAUGAGCCGAUGUCGGAUUAGCUAGUUGGCGGGGUAAAGGCCCACCAAGGCGACGAUCCGUAGCUGGUCUGAGAGGAUGAUCGCCCACCCUGGAACGGAGCCACGGCCCAGACUCCGACGGGAGGCCGCGUGGGGGAUUUUUGGCAAAUGGGCGCAACCCUGCCCCACCCUUCCCGCGUGGGUGAAGAAGGCUUUCGGUUUUUAAACCCCUUUUUUUGGGAAAGAAAAGCAGCGGGUUAAUCCCCCGCUGUUCUGCCGGUACCCAAAGAAAAACCACCGCCUAACUUCGG
rnacentral:rRNA from 1 species